CAAUAGCGUAUAUUAAAGUUGUUGCGGUUAAAAAGUUCGUAGUUGGAUUUCUGCCAAGGACGACCGGUCCGCCCUCUGGGUGAGUAUCUGGCUUGGCCUGGGCAUCUUCUUGGAGAACGUUGCUGCACUUCGCUGUGUGGCGCGGUAUCCAGGACCUUUACUUUGAGGAAAUUAGAGUGUUUCAAGCAGGCUUUCGCCUUGAAUACAUUAGCAUGGAAUAAUAAGAUAGGACCUCGGUUCUAUUUUGUUGGUUUCUAGAGCUGGGGUAAUGAUUAAUACGGAUAGUUGGGGGCAUUCGUAUUUAACUGUCAGAGGUGAAAUUCUUGGAUUUGUUAAAGACGGACGACUGCGAAAGCAUUUGCCAAGGAUGUUUUCAUUGA
rnacentral:rRNA from 1 species